ACUACGGGUGGCAGCAGUCGAGAAUCAUUCACAAUGGGGGAAACCCUGAUGGGGCGACGCCGCGUGGGGGAAUGAAGGUCUGCGGAUUGUAAACCCCUGUCAUGUGGGAGCAAAUUAAAAAGAUAGUACCACAAGAGGAAGAGACGGCUAACUCGGUGCCAGCAGCCGCGGUAAGACAGAGGACUCAAGCGUUGUUCGGAAUCACUGGGCGUAAAGGGUGCGGAGGCUGUUUCGUAAGUCGUGUGUGAAAGGCGCGGGCUCACCCCGCGGACGGCACAUGAUACUGCGAGACUAGAGUAAUGGAGGGGGAACCGGACUUCUCGGUGUAGCAGUGAAAUGCGUAGAUAUCGAGAGGAACACUCGUGGCGAAGGCGGGUUCCUGGACAUUACCUGACGCUGAGGCACGAAGGCCCGGGGAGCGAAAGGGAUUAGAUACCCCAGUAGUC
rnacentral:rRNA from 1 species